GGGCCCGCACAAGUGGUGGAGCAUGUGGUUUAAUUCGAUGCAACGCGAAGAACCUUACCAGGGUUUGACAUCCUGCGAAUUUCUGGGAAACCGGAAAGUGCCUUCGGGAGCGCAGUGACAGGUGGUGCAUGGCUGUCGUCAGCUCGUGUCGUGAGAUGUUGGGUUAAGUCCCGCAACGAGCGCAACCCACGUCUUUAGUUGCCAUCAAGUAAAGUUGGGAACUCUAGCGAAACUGCCGGGGUCAACUCGGAGGAAGGUGGGGAUGACGUCAAGUCAUCAUGCCCCUUAUGCCCAGGGCUGCAAACACGCUACAAUGGCUGGUACAGAGGGCUGCGAACCCGCGAGGGCAAGCGAAUCCCAUAAAGCCAGUCUCAGUUCGGAUUGGAGUCUGCAACUCGACUCCAUGAAGCUGGAGUUGCUAGUAAUCCCGGAU
rnacentral:rRNA from 1 species